GUCAAUAAAAAGCAAAUCUCCAUACGCUCCGGAUCAAUUAAGAGAGGUAUAGCGCUCCCCAUCUCAAAGGCCAGAUUUAAUUGCAUAGGCUCAAUUGUCUCUCCAUCCACAUUGGCAAGCAUCGCAUGAACAAUAUCCUUGGAUACAAAAUACAGAGGUAUGCGUCCCCCUGCCAAUUCGAUCAUUCCAGUUUGCACUUCGUCGAGAAAAGCAAGUGUGUG
rnacentral:lncRNA from 1 species